rnacentral:rRNA from 1 species
GAUGAACGCUGGCGGCGUGCCUAAUACAUGCAAGUCGAGCGAACAGACGAGGAGCUUGUUCCUCUGACGUUAGCGGCGGACGGGGGAGUAACACGUGGAUAACCUACCUAUAAGACUGGGAUAAGUUCGGGAAACCGGAGCUUAUACAGGAUAAUAUAUUUAACCGCAUGGUUCAAUAGUGAAAGACGGUUUUGCUGUCACUUAUAGAUGGAUCCGCGCCUCAUUAGCUAGUUGGUAAGGUAACGGCUUACCAAGGCAAGGAUGCGUAGUCGAUCUGUGAGGAGGAUCGCCCACACCGUAGGGGAGACACGGACCAGACGACUCCGGGACGGAGCAUACGUGAACCGUACGCUAUGGGCGAGAACGUGGCGGAAGAACUCGGAGUGAGAUAUGAAGAUCUCCUGCUCGUAAAACUCUGUUAUUAGUGAGGAACACAUUUGUAAGUCGCUAUGCACGUCUUGACGGUACCUGAUCAGAAAGCCCCGGCUAACUACGUG